rnacentral:rRNA from 1 species
CCUACGGGAGGCAGCAGUGAGGAAUAUUGGUCAAUGGGCGCUAGCCUGAACCAGCCAAGUAGCGUGAAGGAUGAAUGCCCUAUGGGUUGUAAACUUCUUAUAGAUGGGAAUAAAGUGCAGUAUGUAUACUGAUUUGCAUGUACCUUAUGAAUAAGGAUAGGCUAACUCCGUGCUAGAAUCCGCGAUAAUACGGAGGCUUCGAGCGUUAUCCGGAUUUAUUGGGGUUAAAGGGAGCGUAGGCGGGUUGUUAAGUCAGUUGUGAAAGUUUGCGGCUCAACCGUAAAAUUGCAGUUGAUACUGGCAUCCUUGAGUACAGUAGAGGUAGGCGGAAUUCGUGGUGUAGCGGUGAAAUGCUUAGAUAUCACGAAGAACUCCGAUUGCGAAGGCAGCCUGCUGGACUGUAACUGACGCUGAUGCUCGAAAGUGUGGGUAUCAAACAGGAUUAGAUACCCGGGUAGUC